AGGAGGAACAACAACAGUGGCGGGGCCAGCUCUGGAGCCCUGCAUUCAGCUCCUGCAGUAACUAGGGAGCUCUCAGUCUGCAGGGGCCUCGAUGCUCCGGGGGCGG
rnacentral:pre_miRNA from 1 species